AGCCCACUGAUCCAGGAAUCUCCAGGAUGGAGACACGGGCUGGAUGGCCCUGGCUGGGGUCGGCAGGACAGGUCGAAAGCCAGCGGCCACCCUCAGGGGGCCCGUUCUCCGGGGUCCCCGGGGGAGCAGUGUCUGUUCAUAACAGCUGAGUCGGCUGCUUUAGGACCAAGGCUCAGGCGCUCCAGGCGGCUGACGGAGAGCUUUGUGCCCCUUCCAAAGGCGCCAGACGCACCCAACACUCCCACGGCCCGCCCGGCCUUCCGGCUCCUUGCCCAGAACCUCAGUCCAGCCUGCGGGGCCUGGAGGAGGAGGAAGCUGCCCGCUCACGUGGGAAGUCGCAUUUGGGGAUCAGAACGGGGGCUUCCCGGGAUGGAUGCUAGGACGUGGCAGAUAAUAGGGCUUGAAGAGACCCCAGGGCCACCACGGAGCCCCGCCCACCCCAGAAGAAGGUCCAGAGGAGCACAGAGCCCAGGCGCAGUGGGCAGGGAAGCUGGGCCCAUGGUCUCGGGGUUGGGGGGAAAGCAGGACUCAGUGGGGCAUGAAGGAACCACCAAGAGACCGUCAUUGCCACAGGAUUUGGGGCAGCUGAGGUCCACCUGCAGCGAGUGAGUGGGACCUGAGGGGUGAGUCUGGCAUGAUCAAGAUUAAGCAGGCUUGUUCCAGGAGGGGGAAAGGCCGUCCAUAACCAUGACGACACCUGCCCGCCGACCGCACCGGUCCCGUCGCGCUUCUAGCGUCUGGCUGCAGAGCCAAGGCGGGGCGGGGCGCCCAGUGGCAUCGGUCAGGACACCAGCGGGGUGCCCCGGGACACCGCUCCCCACGGCAGCACAGAUCCCGACUGGAGCAGCCUGUGCCAGCCCAGCGUGUGCAUGGGAAGCCCCAGGACAGCUCCACGGUCCUGCGCCCUAAGGACAGAGGAGAACAGAGCCUCGUGUGGGUUGCUGGGUCUGGACUGGGGACACUUCUGCUGGAAAGAGGGCCAAGGAGGAGGGCCAGACACGGACCUGACAGGUCAACAUGUGCACGUCCAGGACAAAGGGGGUUUUGGAACAAGUAACAUCUGGCGAACAGGUAACCUCCCACGCUAGGCGAAGACACGGCCGGUUCUGUCCAACUAAAUCAGGUGCUUGUUUGGGGGAUGGGAGAGGGCGGGCGAGGGACAGCUCACUGGAGCAAAGGUCCCCAUCCUGUACCAAUCAGUGCCACCCCUAGGCCUGGCACCGCUCCCUCAUGCAGCAGCCAGACCCUGCCCUGGCUGCAGGGCUGGGAUGGCUCAAGUAGGAGUGUCUGCUGGGACCUGCAGCUCAGGCCACGCCUCCCUGAGCC